UCUUCUUCAGUGGCUUCACAGGCGGGUACCUGGAACCCGGCUGCUGCGGAAGCGGGUACCCGUGUCCAUGUUGUGGCGGGGGAGGCAGGUACUCGUAUCCCGGAGGCGGUGGUGGGUACACAUCAUAGACGCCGCUCCUUGAGGCGGUGGCGGCCGGUAACCGUACCCUGCCAGAGGCGGCGGAUGAUAAACUGUUAAGAUAGUGCUUAUUAUGAUAAUUAAUAAGCAGAUUAUUUUUGUUUGUUUGUUAGAUGUGCUGAUGUGUGAAGUUGCUGAGUCAGCAUGUUAGUUAAAAGGUUGUUAAGAACGUUUUUCUUGCUAAGCUUAGAUUUAGCUUACAUACUCAACGUGUGCGCAACAUUCUGGAUCUUAGUAUAUAAAUGAUUGUAAUCAGAAAGUACUGAAUAUACAGAACAGCUAUUCAUUCUUCAUUACUCUCUCAACUUUCUUAAACAUUUUCUCUCUGUUUCUUGCAUUUUCUUGAAGUCCAAGCACUUCAGAUUUAACUUGAUAGUCGAACGUGAGGUGCGUUUUCAGUUCACUGAACUUGUACGAGAAGUGUAACUCGCCCUUGGGAUUUCCCGACGACGAGCGGACUUGGGUAAUCAACUUCAUCGAUUUGGCGUCUCUCUCUCUCUCUCUCGAGGAGGAGGAGGAGGAGGAGGAGGAGGAGGAAUCCAAGAGCUCCUUGAUUGGGACGAUUACUUCGCCGAGUAAGCCGUCGCUUUUGAUCUUGAAAUUGAGAGUGAGGCGAUUCUGCUGGGCCAAGGACUCGUUGAAGGUGAACUGAAUGGGGAAAUUCCACGUCGGGUUUGAUCCGCCGGAUCGGUCCACAUGCGUCUUGACUUCCUGUUUCUCGAUGGUGUGGUCGCCCGAGAUCGAAACGACGGCGUACACGCCCAUCUUGGAGAUGAAGUGGACGUCUUUGAGGUCUUUUGCGGAGAUCACCUUGAGCUCUAAGAGGCCAUAACUGCUGAGACUUCUGAGAGAAUUGAAAAUUUUUCAAAGAUCAGUUUCCUGUGAAUUGAGGAAAUUAGCGGCGGCAAUGGUACGAUGCGGUGUAUUUAUAUUGUCAGUGCGAAACUACCCUUCGGACUUUGGAAAUAACAGGGAAAUCAGUGCGAAUCUACCCUUCGGACUUUGGAAAUAACAGGGAAAGCAACCAAGUCCGGGUCAACGCAUUAGGUUCGGAACUGUGCUUCCGCGGACAACAUAAUAACCUCUGGAUCCAUCAAUUGUUCAUAUUUUUUCAAAUGACGAAAUAUUUUUCUAUUUGUGUGAAAUAGAUCCUUUUUUUUUUACUAAUUAACCGCGGUUAGUAAAUUCUUUAGAUUUUUCUCAAGUUGUGUGGAAUAGUCUAUCGUUCGACUGUAGGAUAACGAAUCGUAUAGCAUUCUCUGUUAACUUGCUUAGGGUACAAUUACAAAACUAGUUUAACUUAAUUAUGUGUAAUUGGGAUGUGUGUUUUGUUUUGCAAGAUUUUGGUACUAAUUAAGUUUUAAUGUUUGCGGUGGUGCAGAGUGUGGCAGAUCUAAGGCAUUCAAUUUCGUACACAACACUAGAACUGGAACAGACUAGGCUAGCAGUUCAAGAGGAGCUCAAAAAGAGGAGUUAGUUCAUCUCAAAGAUCUGUUGAGUAAAGUCAUCAGAGAAAGAGAUGCUGCUCAUGAGAAAUGCCAAAGACUUCUCUAUGAGAAGCUUUGCUUCAACAGCAGCAGCAGCAACAAGCAGCUGCUCCUUUGUCAGGAAUUCCUUUUGCCGAAACAAGAAAUUGAAUCGUAUGACAUUCGCUGUGGAAUCAAGUACCCUAUUCCACCAAAUUCUGAAAACGUCCAAGCAAAAUUGGAAGUCAAAACUAAAUCUGAAGUAGCUGUAAUCUUAAAUCAUGCUUUAUUAUUUUUGUGGGUCUUAGCUUGCUAUUGUACGGCACGUACCUUCUCUUGCAAGAGCAGGGCACCUGCCUUCCCAUCGUAAAUCAUAAGAAAUUGUCAACAUCACACCAAUAGCACGCGGUAGGAGCUUUGAUAUUACUUUUCUAUCAUAGAAUUUCUAGAACUAAAAUUUAAAUUAAAUAAUUAAAUGAAAAAUGUAAAAGAAAUUUCAAAACGCAAGCUUUUUCCUUUUGAUUAGAGCAAUUACGCUGACAUCAGUCUUAAACUUUAAUCUGCUAAGUGUACAUUAAAUUCCUAAUAAAAAUCAUACCUGCCUAAAUCCAAUCCUCAGAGUUUGAUGGGCACAUAUCCUAAUGAGUUCUUCAAGUCGGCCACAAUUUCAUGGCAUCUCAUCAAAAGGCUCAACGCUUGAUCAGAGAUGUCUAUGCUCUGGCUGCUGCUGCAGGUGGCAUCGCGACAGUUUUCCGAGGCCUCAGGUUGAACCUUUUUUGAGGUCUUUGCAUUGGUGUUGAUAGUCUCACAGGAAGAUGGGCAACCAUUCAUGUGAUUAUUGAUCAUGCUCUUCGCUGCAAUCUGCUCUGUGCUUGUAUUUUCCUGCCCACCCGACAUAAAUUUGACACGGGGUGUCUCACUAUGAACAAUGGUAGCCUCAUCAUCCAGAUGCUUCUUCAGACGUGAUUUUGGCUGGACACUUGGGUGUGGUUUUGUUGAUUCACCAGUGGUCAUAUGCUUCUUCACCCGUGGAGUUAAGAACCAUAUAACAAAGCAUAAAGUGAGAGUUAAGAACCGAUCAUGUCAUGCGACAGUAGCUGCUGGUAGAGAGACAUGGAUUUGAUGAAACUGAUCAUGUACACAAGGGUUGCUAAAGAUGAUGUAGCAUGGUAAAAUAUAUUUAGCCAUUAACAAUUAAGAUUUGAUUAAUCUUAAAACCAGAAUGUCAUCAAAGUUACCAACAGACAUAGACCUCUCCUCCAAUUAGGCCUCAAAUAUAUAUACGCUGCUGAGAAUUAUACUAAAAGCUUUUGGCAGCCCGUUCUGGAAGAUGUGGCAAAAUGGUAAAAGAUCAUUCAGUAAAAGAUGGACGGUGAUGGGAAGUAGGCGUGGUCCAAUAAAAGCUGAUCAUUCAGAUGAUCAGCGUAAAAGCUAUUCAUUAGCAAUCCUCUCUUUUUAUUGGAAAUAACUUAAAGAGUAGAUGACCAUUCAGUAAGUGAAGAUCAUUCUAGAAGUUAAAAUAAGUUUGUUAAUAAUGCAACGUUAGUGGUCAAAGAUUGUCAAGGGACCUAAGUGACAAAGAAAAUUAAGAUCAGUUAUUGAUUGAUUGUGCAACACUACUGUAAUUUGCCUUUUCUGAAGUGGGUUGCGAAUUUUUACCCAUUUGGCAAAGCUGUGAGCAUAGUAUGCUGGUGAAUCAACAAAACCAAGAGAGGAUGGACGGUGAUGGAAGUGGGCGUGGUCCUUGCAGCUUAGUAAACCUUAGGUCUAAUGUAUUCAUUCCCAGAAGCCCAUGGAAGAACCUCGUGAUCAGUAGUAGCUCUUCAUUUUUUAAGACCAAGUUCAAUAGUUCAUUAUGGUUCCAGAAACCAAAACACUGAAAUAAGACGACUUAAUAUAACUCUAUAACCAAUACAAUCCUCUUUAGAACUGAAAAAGUUCCUCCCAAAACUACAGAAAACUUUCUGCCAAACCCCCAAAAGACCCAACUGAAGACAUCCCUAAAGCUGGUAACUCUUUAACUCGUAUCAAAUAAAAAGUCCCAUAUGCGAUUUAAAUCAGAUCACCAUCUCAUGCUUACAACAAUUGGGAUAAAUUGACAGUGAAUAAUCAUAUCAAAGCCACAAUCCAUCAAGUAAAAAUUCAAGGACACAAUUUCACGAAACUCAAAACUCUUAUAGCUGAAAGCUCACAAAUUGUGCCAAUCAUUAAAAAUGCAACCCCAAUUCAAUAUAGCAUGCUUAAAAACAAACAUACAUAAAAUACAAAAUUCAUUAUAAUUUUUUAGCAACAAAAUUUAUAAGAAUCCCACAUAAUUAAACCUCAUAAAAUUAAACCCACUUACAAAUUCUCUCAAAAUUUCCGAAACAAACAAACACCAACCCAUUUCUCGAAACACCCUAAAUUUUUCCUUCAAAGCUCAUCCUCCAUUCUCAAAUACUCUCCAAUAUCUGACUGAUGCAGUACCACAAUCCCAUUGGGAUCAAGCUUCCGGCAAUCCUGCGUGCUCUUCGCUGCCACGCCAAACCCUAAUGGCACAUCACACAUCGAAUACACAACCACCCCGUCACCCGGGGCGAUACUAUCUGUUAUCCUCCCCAAACCGCCUUUCAAAACGUGGUUGCCGUACAAAAACGACAUUUCCGAUGUGGGUUUUAUCCACACUUUGUGCCGCGCAUUCGCCGCGACGAGACUCAGCGCCUGUAUCGUCAAAUGGAACUUGCCGCCAUGCGUGAACUUGCCGAUGCAGGUUCCCAAAGAGACCAACUUGGGUCUUGCGAUGUUGGUGGCGCGCUUCACUAAUGACUCGCUGACGUAGUAGACGCGGUUCUUGUGGAGACGGAAACAGUAUCGGCCCGGAUUCGGGUCCGGUCCUUCGUGGGAUGGGUUUUCGACUAUGUUUUUGAGAUUGUUGCCGGUGAAUUUGAAGAGCUUCUCGAAAACCGCCGUCGUUUCGGCCUCGUCCAGUGGUCGCAUCUUUGCGAGAUUUCGGAAUCUGUUCGUAUGAAGCCGCGUAUUGGCUAGGGUUUUAGAGCGGUUUAAUUUGGUAUUUUCCUUUUAACGCUGAUGGCUAUUAUUUAAAAUAAAAAUUGAGGCAAAUUCAGAUUUGGGCCGGGUGAAAUUGCUGGAUAUUGAAGAUUAAAGCCCAAAGAGAAACCAUGAUGUGUUAUCUACUACGAGUGGUCCUAUUUGAUCCCUCAUUUUAUUUUUACUAACCUCCACCACCUAUUUUUAUCAUAAUGUCCGUUUUAUCCUUAUGUGAAAUUACUUUAAAAGAUGAAUAGCUUUUAAAUACACACAUGACAAUUAAGUUGCAGUAUUAUCUAAUUUAGAUAAUUUAAUGUUAUAAACUCUAAUUUUUUUAACUUGUUAAACAGAUAUCUCUACUUAAAUAUUUUAUACUCAUGUAAAUAACUUGCAGGACGUAAUAGAGGAAGGUGAAGAAGUAAGUUUAAAGUUUUUAUGUCUCAAUUUUUAUACUCGAUUUUAUAAUAAGCAUUUAAGCUUAUACGUUAUUCGGAAACUACAAUUUUAUCAAAGGAUCAAAAUCAAGAUAAAUUUAUGGCUACAGCUUUAUUAUCUCAAGGCAAAUCCAUUCAUUCCCUGCCCCCACAAAUUUCAAUAUAUAGCUCUAAUUGGAUACAAGUCAGCAAAAUUUCAACCAAAAACCCCACAACUGAACCACCUGCACUGAUGAUAAAUUUUUUGUGAGAGGCAUGAUACAAUGAGAAAGAGAAAGAUUGUUAGAGUUUGAUAUUCUUUUUAUGCAGGUUUUGUAAGUUUAUAUGGUGGGGUGUGUGGAAAAAUGAUAAAAAUUAUAAUAAAGAAUAAAAUGGAGAUCAAAUGAGAUGUAUUGAGAGAUUAAGAUUAUCUUAAAAUUUUCAAUUGAAUUAAGAAGUGGGGGUUAGUAAAAUAAAAUGAGAGGGUCAAAUAUCACAACUCAUCUUAUAGGAUUUUAGUGAAUUAUUGAAUUUUGAGAGACCGACAAAAGCCCAAACAUGGGUCAAGAAUUAUGAGCUAUUGGAUAAAUAUUCUACUUUAAAGUUAAGAAUAAAUGAUCUCCCUAAGUUACAUGCAUGUAACUUAGCAUUAGUCAAGAAUAAAUAUUAACAUUUAUACAUCAUGAUAGGAUUUUCAAACUCAUCCAACUCUUCUAAACUUUUAAAUAUAUAAUGUAACAUUCGUAUUAAUAAGAGUAAGAAGUUGAUUUGUUUAUUUUUAUUUUCUUAUUUAAUCACCAUGGAUGGUGAAGUUAAGUUUUGAUUAAAAAAAAUUGUAUCAUGAAAUAAUCUUGAUCCAUGCAUCACAUUACUAAUGGACUCUAGUGCAAUAUUGGUAAGCCACAAUUGUUAAGGGUUUGAUAGUUUUUUUAUUUGAAAUCUUCAUUUUAAUUAUUUUUAGACAUUUAGAGUUAUAAUUUAUGUCUGAUUAUAAGAAAUUUAGGUGUGAAUAAAAAAUGUUAAAUAUUCUAACUUUUACCUAAAUGACAAAACAUAUGAAUUAAACUUUAAUAUUUUCUCUCGUUAAUACUUCUAUUAAAUACAUUUGUUUCCUACUAUAUAAAUUACCCUUUGAUUAUUUUUUUUAUUUAUCCAUUUUUCAUUGUUGUGUGCAUAUUCAACUAUCCAUUUUUUUUAUUGCAAAUGAGAAUUUUACAUAUAAUAGGACUUUAGAUGAGAAUGUUUUAUAAUAUUUUUCUUUCCAAUAGAUUUAGAAUAUUAUUUAAUAUAUUAAUUUUAGUUCAAAUGAUUAAACAAUUCUUAGUUGGCUUACGUAAUUAACAACAAAAAAUAUCAUAUAAUAUACUAAAAGUACAUUAUAAAUGUCAUAGACAUUAAUAUAAAAAAUACAUUUGUUAGAUAUAUUUUUAUUUUUCAAGCUUUGUUAAGGUACAUAUCAUCAAAUUUAUUUGAGUAAUCAAAUAAUUUAUUUAUAACUUAUCAUGUGUUUAAUAAAUAAAUAUAAAUAUUGUUAAUACUUAGGAGGCUAUCAUAUUUCGGAUGUUUUCUUUUUAAAAAAUAAACAAUAACACUUAUAUUCAAAGUUUGAAAAAAAGAGAAACAAACUUGUCAUUCUCACACACACACACAAAGACUUAUUCAGAUUUAAGUGAAAUUCAAACUCAUUUAAAUUUCAAAUUAAGAAAAAAAAAAAAACAAACGCUUCGUAAGUAAAUUGGUCAUGCUAAUUCCUCCAUUCAAUAUCACGAAACAAUGUGGACAUGCGCGUAGUUAACGUAUUCUAUCUAGGCAAAUGCUAUGUUACAAUUAAUGUAACAUACACACUCAACAACAACCACACAAAUUGUGUGGGGCUCCCUUCUAUCUAAAACUAAAGCUAUCAUUUUUACAAGCUCGAGUUAUUUACAAAAUAUAAACUUUUACCUUGUUGUUAUAAAUUCAACACGGAAAUGCUAGGAGCCGUGUUCAAAGUCCGCGUAUAAAUGUUCGCACUAACGAAGAUAAGACCGAAUAUUGAAAUUCAAAAGAUCUUUCCUUGAAUUCAAGAAACUGUGUGGGUAUUAAGACUUGAGAAUGCAAAAGGUUCAACUAUUAACCGUUGCAAGAGAGCAGACUUCAAAUAAAAAUCAUAAAACAGACAAAGCAAAUUUCAGAUGCGUCCAUGCUACAUAAACACCACUGUUCAAAGCAACCCUUUUUUGAUCUCUUUGACACUGAUAUGAAUGAAUCUCAAUGAGGCAGAUUCAAGCCUUCUGCAACUUUAACAGUUGCAUGCCAGAAGCAAUGUCAUUCCACCAAGCAUUAGCACACGGCCGGGGGGUUACCGCUGCGGCUUUUGGGGUUCUCAUGAAGUAGACAAGACAUGGUAUGUACUGCAUAUCAGCCAUUGUGCAAUCAUCACCAGCAAGAUAUUUGGAUUUAGACAAUCUUUCUUCACACACAUCAAGCACUUUACCGAGCUUCUCCAUUUCAGCUUCUGUUAUUUUCUCAUCAGGAACUAACCCUCUUAAUGGAUGCAAUAUCAAUUGGCGAAUUAUUGAUCUUAUUGGACCAUCGAAUUGGUGCAUUUCUAUAAUUGCGGACUCUUUUGAGGCAACUAGACCGCAGCAGAUCGGUUCCUCUUUCCCUGUACUUGCAUGCCAAGUACUUGCAAAUGGCCCUUGAUUCUGCAAAUAAAAGUGAAUUAGUAAUCAAUAAAUAUGUUUAAAGCUAUUUGCAAGUUAAUAAGAUUUUCCUCCCGAAAGAAAAACAAAAACAAAAGAUAAAUAAAUGGGGUGUGGUGGCUAGGUUCUACUCUUUUAUCCUGUUUAUAUAACAUGCUAGUUGAUUUAAAUGCUAACAUCUCUUGGGUUGGCACAAAAAUUUUGGAUUUGAACCAAAACUUACAUGAUACAAAAAACAAACAAAAGGUCAUUGGGCUAGAACUCAGCUGGCCAUUAAUUUUUUUGAGGUUAAUACAACAUAUUUAGAUUCAAAUCCCACUUAAUAUAAAAUCUCUUAGAAUAAUAGGUGAUCUAAUAAUAGGAGAGAUCAAUUGUACUUGAACUUGUUCAUCUGAGGUAAAACUUCUUAAGAUAAUAAAAGUAAUCAUCCGUGUUUAAACUCUACUUACAGAAAUGAAAAAAAAAAAGUUUUUGUUGAUCCCAUUAUGAUUAAAAAAAAAUAACAAAGAGUGUAUCGCCGCCGUCCUCCAUUGCAAGCAUGAGCCCAAAUGGCUAUAAAGAAAAUGAAACAAUACAAAAUUACCUUAGAAUUGUGGAAGUACUUAUGGUAAAUAAGAGAAAAAUGAAAAAAAAAAAUGCUUCAGUGGGUCUUUACAUUCAGAGAUAAAUAAGGUUGGUGCAUAUGGGCACCGUUAACAAUAUCAACUGGCGGAAGCUCAUAUUCAUCAAUGUCUUUCUCAUAGGCAGAGCAGCACUCGUGCUGUGCAGCUGGAUGAUGCCGUGCUAUGAACUUUAACUGCCAUUGCUUUUGAGCUAAGCAAUAGGAGAAAGUAAUGGCAAAAAAAGGAAGGGAAGAUGCUGCUUGAGCUUUAAAGCUUGAGGUUUUGAUGAGUUAAAUAGACAAGUGGAAAUCAACAGCUUGUGGGUUGUUUUAUAUAAUCUAUGUCCUGCAUAUGUUGGUUCUGUCAAGUUGUAGACAAAAGUUUUUGGUUUAUAUGAAAGGGAUCCUAAAACAGAAUAUGAAUGAGAAUGAGAUCCAAGUAAAUUUCACGUGUGGCACAUUCACAGAUGUUGGAAGAGUCUGGUUUCGCACAAUGUCAGCAAGAAAAUUCAUUUUACAAGAAUCCAUCGGUUGCCGAGGGUCGUCACUUUUGCUGACAUAAUUCUCAACGUUAAUUUUUUUUUCCGGCUACUGUUUAUUGCCUUUUCUGUAUUCGUUUACAAAGAAAGCAUCAUUGUCACUUCGAGGAGGAGUUGACACAAAAAGAAUUCAAACAAAAUAUGGUGGCUGAUGAAACCCCAUGACCCCUUUAGAAUAAUUGCUUUAAACUUGAAGCAACUUUAAAAAUUGUCCGCAAUUUAAUUAAGUUAAAAGUGCAAAAGCAAAAUAUUCUUAUCGUUCGACAUUUUAUUCUUUAGAUGCAAAAACAAAUUUUGCAGAAAGUAACAAAGUAAGUAAAACUCAAAAUUCUAUUGAAGGUGCAUUUGAGAUUAAUGUUGGACUGCUGUAAUUUAAGUUAUUACAUUAAAGUGUUUGGUAAAUAUAGUUUGGAAGCUGCGUUGAUAUAAUUUUUUACUAGUAUAAUAGAAAACAUAUUAUAUCUUUAAUAAUUUUGUCAAAAUCAUUAUUUAAAAUUUACAUUCACUACUUGUUAUUAAUUUUUGUUUCAUAAUUAUAGUUUUUUUUAUAACAACUGUAAUUUAAAAGUUAUAUCACCUAAAUUCCAAUUAGGACCUAAGAGAACAUAAAAUACAAAAAAUAAAAAUUCCCAAAAAUCUCCUCCACCAAAAUUGAGUAGCAGCAAAAAUAAUAUCUUAUCAAAAAACCCAAAACAUUCCUCCAAACAACUUUAAACUUCAAGCAACUUUAAAAAUUAUCCGCAAUUUAAUUAAGUUCAAAGUGCAAAAGCACAAUAUUCUCAUCGUUCCACAUUUUAUUCACUAGCUUUUUCAAGAAUUAACAAAGUAAAACGCAAAAUCCUACUAAGAGAAUAUAAGAUAUAAAAAGUGAAAAUCCCCAAAAUCUCCUCCAUUAGCAUAAAAGAUAAUAUCUUAAAAACCUCAAACAUUCUUCCGCGCAAACCCAGCUCCAAACCCCAUUCCCCAUGUUAUUCCUUAAUAUUGUAAUCAUUCUCUCAUACGCAUUCGUGUCAAAAAAUUAAAACAUUCUAACUAUAGAUGAAAUUUUGCGGCUUAGGCUCCCAAACCAAAACCAAACCUUAACUUAGUGACAUCCAACGGAUAAUCUCACUUGAGGUUCAUUCACAUACAACACUUUUCAAGAGCCUAGUUUGGUUUGCCUCAAUGGUAGCAAGAAAUUUUAGAGACAAGAUUGAACAAGCACCCAUCAUUUAAUCCUAAGUGCUAUAGCUAAGUUACUAACAUUGCCAUUUUUAUUCAUGUGGGUAGAGAACAAAAAGAAUUCAGAGGCCCAAGCGAAAGCAACAAUAUCACUUCAAGAAGGAUCCCAACAACGGCCAUAACAGCACCCCAUGGCCCCUUCAGAAUAGUGAAGUAAUAAACUUGACAGCUGCUUUAAAAAUUUCCCAUUUAUGUAGUACAUAGAUCACAAAAUUUGAGUGUACAUAAACAUUAAAUCGCUCAUUUUCAUUGACAACCAUUAAAGUGCAAAGCAAAAUAUUCUAUAUGUACAUUCCACAUUUUAUUCUUAAUGUACGUAAGAAAAAGCUAAUAUAUAUAACAAAGAGAAAAGCAAAAUCCAAAAUAACUAAGUCUAAAUACCAUAUGGCAUUUAAAAAAAAGAAAGAGGAGUCAAAAUACCGUAAUAAUAAUAAUAAACUAUCUAAAAAAAAGUAGAAGAUAAAAUUCAAAAAUCAAAAUCUCCUCCGAAGUCUCCAUCAUAAUCAGCAGCAUCAGAGACAAUAUCUCCGAUUAAAAGCCCACCAAGCAUUCCGCCAAGCAAUCCAGUUCCAAAUCCCAGUCCCCCAUUACUCUUCUUCUGUGGCUUCACAGGCGGGUACCCGUAUCCCUGUUGUGGCGGUGGAGGCGGGUACCCGUAUCCCGGUUGUUGCGGUGGGUAUGCACCAUUCGGCGCCGCUCCUUGAGGGGGUUGUGGUGGGUAACCGUUCCUUGCCUGAGGCAGCGAGGGGUAAGCGUGAGCCAUCGGCGCCGGAUAAGCAGUCACGGGCUCGCCGGGAGGAGGAGGAGGAGGAGGAGGAAUCCAAGAGCUCCUUGAUCGGGACGAUUACUUCGCCGACGGUUUUAUCGCCGAGUAAGCCGUCGCUCUUGAUCUUGAAAUCGAGCGUGAGGCGAUUCUGCUGGGCCAAGGACUCGUUGAAGGUGAACUUAAUCGGGAAAUUCCACGUGGGGUUUGAACCGCCGGAUCGGUCCACGUGCGUCUUGACUUUCUGUUUCUUGAUGGUGUGGUCGCCCGAGAUCGAAACGACGGCGUACACGUCCAUCUUGGAGAUGAAGUGGACGUCUUUGAGGUGUUUUGCGGAGAUCACGUUGAGAUCUAAAGUUCUGUAAGAGGCCAUAAUUGCUAAUAACUUUUGAGAGAACUGAAGAUUUUUCAAAAGAUCGCUUUCUGCGGAUUGAGAAAAUUAGCGGAGGCUAUAACACGAUGCGGUGUAUUUAUACCGUCAAUGCGGACUUAUCCUCCGGCCUUUGUAAAAUACCAAGGAAAAGCAACAAAGUCCGCGUCAACGCGUUUGGUUGGGAACUGUGCGCCCGUAAACAACAUAAUAACAUUCAGAUCCAUAGCUUUUCCAUAUUUUUUCAAAUGACGAAAUAUUUAUAUAGUGGAUGAGGUCUUUGAUUCUCAUUCAAAAACUAUUUCUUAAAAACAAUUAAACAACUUAACUGGUUCAAGACAUUUCAAUAGGGCAUAGGGACAUAUUUGACAUUAAUGUAUAAAAUAUAACAUUAUUUAAGAAAGUAUAAAAAGUAAGGGACCCUUUUUCGUUUUUGGGAAAUGAGGGACCCAGAUUUGAUUGUUUCUUUUGCGCCCUGACUUAACCAUGGUUAAGUAUGUUGUUUUUUUUUUUCCGGGGCGGUUAGUAAAUUCUUUAGAUUAUUCUCAAGUUGUGUGGAAGUGGAAUGGUCUGCCAUUUGACUGUUAGAUAUUUGUUGUAUUUUAUUUAUAAAUUCUAUAGUUUGCCGAAACACGAGAUCGAAUCGUAUAAGAUUCGCAAUGGAAUCAAGUACGCUAUUCCCACCAAAUUCUGAAAACGUCCAAGCAAAAUUGAAUGUCGGAACUGAACCUGAAAGUAGCUGUAAUCUUUAAAUCAUGCUUUAUUAUUUUGUGGGUGUUGGCUUGGUACUGUAAGGCGGGCGCCUACCUUCCCCUGUAAGGCCAAGGCACCUGCCUUCCCAUUGUAAAUCAUAAGAAAUUGUCAACGUCACACCAAUUGGACGCGGUCGGAGCUUUGAUAUUCUUUUCCUAUCAUAGAAUUUCUAGAUUACAAUCACGAUAACGAUUGCUUUUGCGUACCAAUGACGGAUUCCUAUUACCAACUUUCUUAGCUCCCAAGUAAUUCAAAUCAGUCUUAAACUUCAAUUUGCUAUGUGUAUAUUAACUUCUAAUAAAAAUCAUAGGUGCCUAGAUCCAAUCUUCAGAGUGUGAUGGGCACAUAUCCUCAUGACCUUUUCAAGUCGGCCACAAUUUCAUGCCAUCUCAUCAAAAGGCUCAACAUCUGAUCCGAGAUGUCUAUGCUCACGGGAAAGAUGAGCAACCAUUCACGUGAUUAUUGAUGAUGCUCUUUGCCACAAUCUGCUCUGUGCUUGUACUUUCUUGCCCACCCGACAUAGAUUUGACAUGGGGUGUCUCAUUAUGAACAAUGGUAGCCCCAUCAUCCAGAUGCUUCUUCAGACAUGAUUUUGGCUGGACACUUGGGUGCCACAAUUGAUGCCGAGGCGCAAUAGACCUUGGUUUUGUUGAUUCACCAGUUGUCACUUGCUUCUUCACCCGUGGAGCUUCAUUAGGGACUUUAACAACAAGCUACUUGUCCAGUCAAAGAAGUGCCGAGGAUGAAGCUUCCGGGGCUUGCAAGUAAUAUUCUACUUCCAUAUUGCCAAAUAGGGGUCUGUUUUUAACCGCAUGAGCAAAUGCUGCCUCAGCGUCAGAUUUGCAUUUGAACCGAACCUGGCAGGUUGAGGAUCUCCAGAACACGCAAGGAGGAGAAUGAAGCUGUCCGAAACGUGCACAACUUGCUUUCAGCUAAACAGAGGGCAAAGCUGAUUGACUCGAGAAUUGUAUCACUAUCAUUUUGGGCUCCCUGAACUUUCUUGAAGUAUCACGCUUCUUCUGCGAAUACUUUCUCCGUUUUUCCUGGACUUUCAAGCUCAUCCGCGCACCCCUUCUCAGAGGUUUUUCAAGUUUCCUAUCGCCAGCCUCUGUCUUUUCUUCACUCAACAAUUUCAGCUCAUUCAAUCUUUUUGGUUCUUCCACAGACAUUUGUUCAGGACCUGUAAUGCUGCCGGUUAGUCCCGCAUUUCUAUAAUCGUCAGCUUUGAGCCGUUUUUUUGGGGGGCUUUAAAGCAGAAGGCAGGUCUUGAGCAGUCCUGCUGUUAGGACUCUUAGCAGCCAUACCACAGACCAUUGACUUAGUGGGACAACUUUCAAUUGUUCCAGACUCUGCUGCUGGGAUGACAGCCACUUCACAUAGACGACAGAUCUGUAUUCCAGGAAGAACUGCAGCAUGGUUGCGGGGAUAUUUUGUCGCACACUUUGAAAUGGAUUAUGAGCAAGAGCUGACAGAUAAUCAAGUAACUGAGAAUGUUUGCUAUUAACUUGUAAACCAUCUAUCUUCUCUCUAGCCUUGAAAUUUGAGGAAAAGGUGCCACAGGCUCCUUCGCCUGAUUCUCUUUUUACCUUUUUAUGACCAUUGUCCCAAUAUAUACAAUGAGUGUAACAUAUAGGUUGAAUUAUUUGCAAGCAAAUAGCAGCCCUUGCAAGAGCCAAUGUCAGAUUGAAGCAUUCGUCACAAGGACAAGCUCGAUCUAUUAUUAUUGUAAUUAAAGAGGCAUCGAUGAUACCUAUAUUUCAUUAAUAUAUAUAUAUAUAUAUAUAUACAUACAUAAUAUGGAGAAGUUUGCACAGCAGAGUCUGUCCCCCUGUUGAGUGAACCCACUACUCACUCAAAAUCACCUUUUGUUUGCUGCUCUAACAGUCCUUUUCACUUCAAUUAAACAUAUUUAAUAAUUCGCAAAUUGAAUUGCACAGAUUAUUAUUAGAUUAAAGAAGCUAUUUGUAUGUUCAUAAUUUAUUGGUCCAAUAAAGUCAUAAUAAAUACAUUUUCACCAAUCAACCACCAUUUCAGUCGAUAGGCGCUGCUCACGUCUUUCAAGCAACAAUCUUCCGUCAUUGGGUACUCCAUCAUUAUCAUGUAUAUGAGUGAGACUCUUAUUAAUUAUCACUUUACAUGUAAAAGAAUAAACAAACACUCAUUGAUUUUUUUCUCUUUUCGCAUUUCAAGAGUGAAAAACAUAUGCAAGCAAACAGAAGCACGCAGUGCAAAUUUUGGAAUGCCAGUACCACCCACGCUUGUCAAUGCUGCACGUGAGGAGCAGUUGGGCCUAAAUGCAGUCCAAAUGGGCCCCUAAUGAAUGAAAAAAGUGGGACCACUUGCAUUUUACCAACUCUAAAAGCGACCCGCUUUGUCCAAUCACGAAGGCCCAUAUGAGACAAUAGCUAACCACCACCACCACCUCGCUAGAGCAACCACUGCGUGGAGAGUUUUCGUAAAUGAAAAUUAAAAAAAAAAAAUUUAAAAAAAUUCAGUUGAAUGCUAUCUAGUGUCUAUAUAUAUGUAUAUGCAAUUGAAUCUGGUUAAGUUGAAAAUUAGAUUUUGGUGAAAGCCAAUGAAUGGUCUAUCAAUUAUUAAUAAUGAGAAAGUGAUAAGUAUCCAAUUCUUGUUACACCAAGUAAUGGAAUCUAUUUAAUAAGCAUGGAAGCUAGCGAUCGAUAUUUGAUCAUUUGGGUUUUGGUUUAAAUGAUCAUAAGUAAUGACUCCACCGAACAGGGACCACUAAAUAAUAUGAAAUGUGGUACCAACCCUUAACCUUAAUUGCACAAAUGAACUUAAAUUAUGACGGAUUGAGACCGUUUAACAAAUAUUUUUAUUGUCUUAACCUUGCUACGACCAAUAUAACUAACACGGAAGUGGGGUUCAUGUCUUAACCUUGAAUUGUUUGAAGUGGGGUUCAUGUCUGGGUAUUUAAAAAGUUCAAAAAAUUCUUCACACACAAAUCUAUUUCUUGGUUUGGCUUGUUUGACUGUUUGAGAGAGGGGGGGAAAAAAAUUGACAGCACCGAGUUACAGCUGAAGAGAAUAUUCCAUGUACAUCAUAGGAAAGAUUGAUGGAAUGUUUUACAUGAAGUCUGUCAAAUACUUGGAUAGUGGCUUUUUUAUUAUUAAUUAUAUAUAUUUACAUAUAAGUCAAAUUCGAUUGUACAUGAAUUAACGGAGUGAGUCAUGCGACAGCAAUGUUUACUAUGUGUAAUAAUCUAUUAUAUCAAACAAAUAGGUCGUGUAGUGAAGAAAAAUGGUAAUCAAAUUAGUUACUCAAAAGGUCACGAUUCCACAAAUCAAAUAAUCAACCUCACCUGACAUGGAGUUGAAGUGCGGUUCAUGUUUGGUUCUGUCAAGUGGUAGACAAAAGUUUUUGGUUUAUAUGAAAGGGAUCCUAAAUCAGAAUAUCAAUGAGAAUGAGAUCCAAGUAAAUUUCACGUGUGGCACAUUCACAGAUGUUGGAAGAGUCUGGUUUCACACAAUGUCAGCAAGAAAAUUCAUUUUACAAGAAUCCAUCGGUUGCCGAGGGUCGUCACUUUUGCUGACAUAAUUCUCAACGUUAAAUUUUUGUUUUUUUUCCUGCUACUGUUUAUUGCCUUUUCUGUAUUGGUUUACAAAGAAAGCAUCAUUGUCACUUCGAGGAGGAGUUGACACAAAAAGAAUUCAAACAAAAUAUGGUGGCUGAUGAAACCCCAUGACCCCUUUAGAAUAAUUGCUUUAAACUUGAAGCAACUUUAAAAAUUGUCCGCAAUUUAAUUAAGUUAAAAGUGCAAAAGCAAAAUAUUCUUAUCGUUCGACAUUUUAUUCUUUAGAUGCAAACGCAAUUUUUGCAGAAAGUAACAAACUAAGUAAAACUCAAAAUUCUAUUAACGGUGCAUUUGAUAUUGAGGUUGGAUUUUUGUAAUUUAAGUUACAACACUAAAGUGUUUGGUAAAUAUAGUUUGGAAGCUGCGUUGAUAUGAUUUUUUACUGGUAUAAUAGAAAAUCUAUUAUAUCUUUAAUAAUUUUGUCAAAAUCAUUAUUUAAAAUUUAUAUUUACUACUUGUUGUUAAUUUUUGUUUCCUAAUUAUAGUUUUUUUUUCUAUAACAACUGUAAUUUAAAAGUUAUAUCACCUAAAUUCUAAUUAGGACCUAAGAGAACAUAAAAUAUAAAAAGUAAAAAUUCCCAAAAAUCUCCUCCAUCAAAAUUAAGUAGCAGUAGAAAUAAUAUCCUAUCAUAAAACCCAACUGUGUCAACAAAUUAAAUCAUUCUAAUUAUAGAUAAAAUUUUACUUUAAACUUCAAGCAACUUUAAAAAUUGUCCGCAAUUUAAUUAAGUUCAAAGUGCAAAAGCACAACAUUCUUAUCGUUCCACAUUUUAUUCAUUAGCUUUUUCAAGAAUUAACAAAGUAAAACAUAAGAUCCUACUAAGAGAAUAUAAGAUAUAAAAAGUGAAAAUCCCCAAAAUCUCCUCCAUUACCAUAAAAAAUGAUAUCUUAAAAACCUCAAACAUUCUUCCGCACAAACCCAGCUCCAAACCCCAUUCCCCACGUUAUUCUUUAAUAUUAUAGUCAUUCUCUCAUAUGCAUUCGUGUCAAAAAAUUAAAACAUUCUAACUAUAGAUAAAAUUUUGCGACUUAGGCUCCCAAACCAAAACCAAACCUUAACUUAUUGACAUCCAACGGAUAAUCUCACUUGAGGUUCAUUCACAUACAAUACUUUUCAAGAGCCUAGUUUGGUUUGCCUCAAUGGUAGCAAGAAAUUUUAGAGACAAGAUUGAACAAGCACCCAUCAUUUAAUCCUAAGUGCUAUAGUUAAGUUCAUAACAUUGCCAUUUUUAUUCAUGUGUGUAGAGAACAAAAAGAAUUCAGAGGCCCAAGCGAAAGCAACAAUAUCACUUCAAGAAGGAUCCCAACAACGGCCAUAACAGCACCCCAUGGCCCCUUCAGAAUAGUGAAGUAAUAAACUUGAAAGCUGCUUUAAAAAUUUCCCAUUUAUGUAGUACAUAGAUCACAAAAUUUGAGUGUACAUAAACAUUAAAUCGCUCAUUUUCAUUGACAACCAUUAAAGUGCAAAGCAAAAUAUUCUAUAUGUACAUUCCACAUUUUAUUCUUAAUGUACGUAAGGAAAAGCUAAUAUAUAUAACAAAGAGAAAAGUAAAAUCCAAAAUAACUAAGUCCAAAUACCAUAUGGUAUUUAAAAAAAAAAGUAGUCAAAAUACCGUAAUAAUAAUAAUAAACUAUUAAACUAUCUAAAAAAUUAGCAGAAAAUAAAAUUCAAAAAUCAAAAUCUCCUCCGAAGUCUCCUCCAAAAUCUCCAUCAUAAUCAGCAGCAUUAGAGACAAUAUCUCCAAUUAAAAGCCCACCAAGCAUUCCGCCAAGCAAUCCAGUUCCAAAUCCCAGUCCCCCAUUACUCUUCUUCUGUGGCUUCACAGGCGGGUACCCGUAUCCCUAUUGUGGCGGUGGAGGCGAGUACCCGUAUCCCUGUUGUGGUGCAGGCGGGUACCCGUAUCCCUGUUGUGGCGGUGGAGGCGGGUACCCGUAUCCCGGUUGUUGCGGUGGGUAUGCACCAUUCGGCGCCGCUACUUGAGGGGGUUGCGUGGUGGGUAACCGUUCCUUGCCUGAGGCAGCGAGGGGUAAGCGUGAGCCAUCGGCGCCGGAUAAGCAGUCACGGGCUCGCCGGCCUUGGCGUGCUUUUUCCCAACGGUGGGUUCAUUGAACUUGUACGAGAAGUGUAACUCGCCCUUGGGUUUUUCCAACGACGAGCGGACUUGGUAAGUAACGAACUUCAUCGAUAUAGCGUCUCCCGAGGAGGAGGAGGAGGAGGAAUCCAAGAGCUCCUCGUAUCCCUGUUGUGGCGAUGGAGGCGGGUACCCGUAUCCCUGUUGUGGCGGUGGAGGCGGGUACCCGUAUCCCGGUUGUUGCGGUGGGUAUGCACCAUUCGGCGCCGCUACUUGAGGGGGUUGCGGUGGGUAAUCGUACCCUGCCUGAGGUUGUGGGGGGUAAGCGUAAGGCACAAAGCUCGAUCCGGCUGCCAUCUGUGCCAGAUAAGCAGUCACGGGCUCGUCGGCCUUGGCGUGCGUUUUCCCGAUGGUGGGUUCAC
rnacentral:lncRNA from 1 species